ensembl:lncRNA
AGGAGGCCGCGCCGGGCCUUGCGGGGCCGCCGGGACGGGGUCGCCGGGCUCGCGGGGACCGCGGGGCUCUCGGCCUCCCGCCUCCCCAGGCGCCGGCUCCUUCGGGGCGUCUCCAUGGCCUCCCGCCGCGCCAGCCGAGCCCACCAGCAGAAGACCCACGUGGAGCGCCUAGGUUCUCCGGCGGCCGACGCUCCCAGUGACGUCCAAAAACAGCGACAGCCAACGAAGGGCUGGAAGGCGUGGUGCCCCGUCGGCCAUAUUGGUGAGGGGCAAAACCCCAGCGCCGCACUUUCCGGGAGCAUGCGCCUUCCUGCUCCUCUCCGAGCAGCGCAUUUGCGCCUGCGCAGAUCCCAUCGCUGGCCCCAGAUGGUGCUGGGCUUCCGAGGGUCUGGGGGACGGACGGGGAAGGGCACCGGCGGACCGGGACCGGGACCAGCCCCCGGACUCGCUUCGUUCGCGGGCCUGCUGUGCGCUAGCGCGGUGCUGCAUCAAGCAUUUCUUUAUCUGGGCUUUGAGGGCUCGAAGAAAAAGGGCGAGGAAGAGGUCCGGCCCUCAGGGAGCUUGCACUCUGCCCGGAAGUGGGAGGUUUACCCAAAUAGAAACCCUGCGCCCAGGGGUGGGGGCGGGGCAGGAAAAGCUCCCCGAGGCUGCGGGCGGGUGGAAGGGCAGGAGUUCCCUACAGACCCGGCGUGAGCUUGAGAAACAACAAAUGUGGAUAUUUCUAGGAACAGAGAUGCGCGCGCACAGGAAGAGCCUGCGUUGCAGUCAUACGGAGUUUGUGCAUUGGCCGGUUGGGAGUAAUCCUUGUUCUAAGAGGACCAAAGUAACGUCACUGUAUUGGGCUCACGGCGCCACGUAUCCUACUGUGGAGGGCCCUCCUCCAGGGGGGCCCCGUGCUCACGUUUGGAGAGGAGAUGACUCCGUUUGUACCUCUCACGUUUCUUGAGCAAUUCUGCGUCCUGCACAAAGCACAAAGCCGCCUUUGACUCUGGGCACUUGGUGCUGCUUGACCCUGAGACCCGUAGUCUUCCAUCUUCCACAAAGGGUUCCAGAGUUCUUCAGAGAGACCUUGAGAGUGUCCUUGUAUCCAUUCUCUGAGCUCCAUGUGAGCGCUUUAUGUGAGUUCUCCUUAAGUAGUCUUUCGGGCCAGUGCGUGUUUGCUGCCAGGAGCUUCUGGAGAGUUUGAAUCAUCAGCAGUUGCGCUUGAGAAAGGACCUCGGCGUCUGAUUCAGCCUCCCAAACAUUGAGCCAUCUCUGGCCACGUGUGGGCCAGUCUCACUGUCAGUGUAGCCAUCCCUGGAAAGUGUCCUGCCAAGGAAAGGGAACUUAUGCCCGUGAUUCAAAACUAAUCCGUUUUCCGUAAUCAACAGUUCCGUGUGUGGGGCUGGCCGGUGGAGAAGUUGUGUUUUCUUGGCGUUAAUUGUUAGGCCAAAGUUAGCACAAGCAGCAGUAUUAUGUGUGUGUAUAUGUAUGUGUAUAUAUAUAUAACAAUAUUAUACUAUACAAUGUUACUAAUAUAUAUACUGUAUAUAUAUUACAAUAUUAUACUAUACAAUAUUACUAAUAUAUAUAUAUAUAUAUUACAAUAUUAUAUAACAAUUCAAACUUUGAUCUUGAAGCUGUCCUGAUA